ensembl:misc_RNA Y_RNA Y RNA
GGCUGGUCCGAUGGCAGUGGGUUAUCAGAACUUAGUAACAUUAGUGUCACUAAAGUUGGUAUACCACCCCCCCCACUGCUAAAUUUGACUGGCUUAAA